rnacentral:rRNA from 1 species
AUACGGAGGAUCCGAGCGUUAUCCGGAUUUAUUGGGUUUAAAGGGUGCGUAGGUAGUUUGAUAAGUCAGCGGUGAAAGUUUGCAGCUUAACUGUAAAAAUGCCGUCGAAACUGUCGGACUUGAGUGUAAAUGAGGUAGGCGGAAUGCGUGGUGUAGCGGUGAAAUGCAUAGAUAUCACGCAGAACCCGGAUUACAAAGGCAACUUACUAAGCUACAACUAACGCUGAAGCACGAAAGCGUGGGGAUCAAAAAGGAUUAGAUACCCUGGUAGUCCUCGCAGUAAACAAUGAUUACUAGCUGUUUGAGAUACACAGUAAGCGGCACAGCGAAAGCGUUAAGUAAUCCACCUGGGGAGUCCGCCGGCAACGGUGAAACUCAAAGAAAUUGAUGGUG